CCCUCGCGCAUAGACAGCCGGGAGUCCUGCCUGCACCCUCUACCUCCGCGGGCUGGUGGCCCCGCCGGCUCCGGGCUGUGAUUUGAAUUUCCUCUCCGCGCUAGGAACCCUCUCCAGGAUCACAGGCUAACCCAGACACUCCAUUCCUGAAGACUUACAGCUGCCCCCACACAAGGGAUUAAUUUACAGAUAGCAGGAGGAAGAGGGAGAGAGGAAUAGA